ACACAUGCAAGUCGAGCGGUAGCACAGAGAGCUUGCUCUCGGGUGACGAGCGGCGGACGGGUGAGUAAUGUCUGGGAAACUGCCUGAUGGAGGGGGAUAACUACUGGAAACGGUAGCUAAUACCGCAUAACGUCGCAAGACCAAAGUGGGGGACCUUCGGGCCUCAUGCCAUCAGAUGUGCCCAGAUGGGAUUAGCUAGUAGGUGGGGUAACGGCUCACCUAGGCGACGAUCCCUAGCUGGUCUGAGAGGAUGACCAGCCACACUGGAACUGAGACACGGUCCAGACUCCUACGGGAGGCAGCAGUGGGGAAUAUUGCACAAUGGGCGCAAGCCUGAUGCAGCCAUGCCGCGUGUGUGAAGAAGGCCUUCGGGUUGUAAAGCACUUUCAGCGGGGAGGAAGGCGGUGAGGUUAAUAACCUUGUCGAUUGACGUUACCCGCAGAAGAAGCACCGGCUAACUCCGUGCCAGCAGCCGCGGUAAUACGGAGGGUGCAAGCGUUAAUCGGAAUUACUGGGCGUAAAGCGCACGCAGGCGGUCUGUCAAGUCGGAUGUGAAAUCCCCGGGCUCAACCUGGGAACUGCAUUCGAAACUGGCAGGCUAGAGUCUUGUAGAGGGGGGUAGAAUUCCAGGUGUAGCGGUGAAAUGCGUAGAGAUCUGGAGGAAUACCGGUGGCGAAGGCGGCCCCCUGGACAAAGACUGACGCUCAGGUGCGAAAGCGUGGGGAGCAAACAGGAUUAGAUACCCUGGUAGUCCACGCCGUAAACGAUGUCGAUUUGGAGGUUGUGCCCUUGAGGCGUGGCUUCCGGAGCUAACGCGUUAAAUCGACCGCCUGGGGAGUACGGCCGCAAGGUUAAAACUCAAAUGAAUUGACGGGGGCCCGCACAAGCGGUGGAGCAUGUGGUUUAAUUCGAUGCAACGCGAAGAACCUUACCUGGUCUUGACAUCCACAGAACUUUCCAGAGAUGGAUUGGUGCCUUCGGGAACUGUGAGACAGGUGCUGCAUGGCUGUCGUCAGCUCGUGUUGUGAAAUGUUGGGUUAAGUCCCGCAACGAGCGCAACCCUUAUCCUUUGUUGCCAGCGGUUAGGCCGGGAACUCAAAGGAGACUGCCAGUGAUAAACUGGAGGAAGGUGGGGAUGACGUCAAGUCAUCAUGGCCCUUACGACCAGGGCUACACACGUGCUACAAUGGCAUAUACAAAGAGAAGCGACCUCGCGAGAGCAAGCGGACCUCAUAAAGUAUGUCGUAGUCCGGAUUGGAGUCUGCAACUCGACUCCAUGAAGUCGGAAUCGCUAGUAAUCGUAGAUCAGAAUGCUACGGUGAAUACGUUCCCGGGCCUUGUACACACCGCCCGUCACACCAUGGGAGUGGGUUGCAAAAGAAGUAGGUAGCUUAACCUUCGGGAGGGCGCUACC
rnacentral:rRNA from 1 species